CAGCCGCCGCGGUAAUACGAAGGGGGCUAGCGUUGUUCGGAAUUACUGGGCGUAAAGCGCACGUAGGCGGACAUUUAAGUCAGGGGUGAAAUCCCGGGGCUCAACCCCGGAACUGCCUUUGAUACUGGGUGUCUAGAGUAUGGAAGAGGUGAGUGGAAUUCCGAGUGUAGAGGUGAAAUUCGUAGAUAUUCGGAGGAACACCAGUGGCGAAGGCGGCUCACUGGUCCAUUACUGACGCUGAGGUGCGAAAGCGUGGGGAGCAAACAGGAUUAGAUACCCCUGUAGUCCCUGUCUCUUAUAC
rnacentral:rRNA from 1 species